rnacentral:lncRNA from 1 species
AAGAAUAAACUUCCACUAGCGUAGGGACCCGCGCGAUGCGGCGGGUAGAAAUAUUUUAGUAAAAAUUUAUAGUCUGUAGAUUUAACAAACAAAUAAAAACGUUAAAAAGAAACAGAAAAAAUAUUUAAAAUAUUAUGAAGGGUAAUAAAUAAUAAAAAAAAACUAAAGAGGUUCAAAUUCACACUUAACUAAUCAUAUAAAGAUAUUUAUCAAUCCUAUUAUCUUUUCUAAUUUAAAUUAGAUUUCUCUCAAAAAUCAAUUAUUAUUGCAUUUGUUUAUGGACAUUCAAAUUGUCAUGCCAUCAAAGAAUUAGCACGAAAUGUAAAAAAAUUAAAGAAAAAAUAUGAAGGAAUAUAUGAUAGUCAUACAAAUAAAUUUAAAAAUAAUAAUAGUUAGUUUUUAACUACCGUUAAAUUGUAAAAGCCCACUUUUCAUAUAUCUAUAAGCUAACAAUCUAUAUAUUAUGUUAGUUUGUUGAUGUAAAUACUAAUUUAAUCAGUUUUUUUUAUAAUUUUACUCCAUCAAUUUUGUUUAACUCAAAUGACUUAUUCAUGAACAGUAAUAUGCAAUAAAAAAAAAAAAGAGAGAGAAAUAAUACAUAUUCAUCCGACAUAGAAGGAGAGGAAUCUGCAUUAGCAGCUUCAAUUAGACAAUUCGAAAGUUUUAUCCGAUGACUCCAUUUUGCCAUUCUGUAUCGAAAAAAUCUCCUAAUAUCAUCUAUGGUCUUCUCGAAAGAGGAUAAAAGAGGGCCUUAGACCAAGAACAGUCUCUUUCCUUUUAUAUAAAUAAAUAAAAUUAGGAAGAGUUCAGGAAUUUUGGGAUGCUAUUGGCUAUGAUAAUAAUAAAAAGACUCACUUUCUAAAGCAAAGCUUUCUAUACUUCUUUAGGCUAUCAACGAAGCUUUAAUAACCAAGAGGUCUUGGCUUUUAUUACAUGCAUACCAUUAUUUAUUUGGAGUUUGAUAACUAAGAGGUCAUGGCUAGCUUUUAUUACAUGCAUACCACUAUUUUGUAUUUGGGAGGUGAGAGGGGAGCAGUUUUGGGAGAUGAGAAGGUAGUAGUUUUGGGGAUUCAUUUAGUUUUAUUUCUUUUAUUAUGUUAUAUGCAUGGAGUUACAUGCAUAUAUAUUUAUAUUUCAAAACAGUUUUGAAAAAUGAAGAGGUAGUAGUUUUGGGAUUCAUUUAGUUUUAUUUUUUUUAUAAAACUUUUAUUAUAUUAUAUGCAUGGAGUUACAUGUAAAUAUACAUUUAUAUUUCAAACCAUCAUUAAAAACUUUUAUUAUGUUAUAUGCAUGAAGUGACAUGCAUAUAUAUAUAUAUUUAUAUUUCAAAUCAUCAUUAAAAAAUAUGAAAAAUCUAAAAAAAUGAGAGCUUGCCAUGUCAUCAUUCUUAUUGGGGAUUCAUAUAGAGUUAUAGAUUCUUUCGUAGUAAUCUCCUUAUAUUUAAAAUAACAAAAAUAAUAAAUAGUAUCUCCAUGCUGUUAAGUAAUAAGUAACUAAAUAAAAAAUGUGUAGCUGCAUUACAUUCAACUAUACACUACCUAAGGAGCUAUUUGGUUUCUCAAAAAAUAUGGGCCAAUUUGCAUAAAAAAUCCACAAGUUUAGAGCUUUGGCAAAACUGGGCAAUAUUUUUCGAUUUUGCAGAUUCGGUCCGAAUUUUCAACGAACUGACCAAAAUACCCUUAUACCUUUUUCUCUCUCCUCUUUUUUUCUUUCGUUCUUUUUUUUUCCUCUCCGAAGAAGGCGGAGGAGGCGGAGGCAGAAACGGCCCGCCUCGCCUCUGCCCCUCACGCUCGCCCUCGCCCUUGCACCCCCCGCCCUCCUCCCUUCCGACCCCGACGAAGCCGCGCUCGACCCUUUUUUAUUUUUUUUUCUCUUCGACCCUCCUCCACCCGUCGUCCCCACCGCCACCACCGGCGACAAAGAGAAAGUGCUUCUCGAGGUCCAGAAGCACUCCGCGCGAGGGAGGGGGAGAAAAAGAGUUACACUCCGACAAGGAAAAGAAAAUAAGAAUGAUAAAAAAAAAAAAUUUACAGAAAAGAUCAAAAAUUACACUAUUUAAAAAAAUUACACUGUUAAAAAAUUACACUGUUUUAAAGAAAUUUUGCAUUGUUUUAGAUAAAAUUGCACUCUUUGAAAUAAAAAUUACACUGUUUUGAAAUGAAGAGUUACACUCUUUAGACGAAUGUUGCACUAUUUGGAUGAAAUUUACACCAUUUCUCCUUUCCCACGUCUUCCUUCUUCUUCCUCCUCCUUACACCAUUUCUCUUUCCACCCCCAUUAGAGCCGCGAGGCCCUCGCCGCCGCCUAGCCCUCGACGCCGCCGACACCAACUCGGCCAGGACCCCGAUUGCGGAGGAGAUCGAGCGCGUGACACGGCGAGGAGACGGUUCGAAAAAAGAGCGGCCGCUGGUGGUGCAUGACCGCGGACCAACUGGUAGUGGGCGCCGACGAGGUCCUGGCCGCCGCCGAGGUCCUCCUCGUAGCCUCGUCAUCCUGCGGCGACUCCUCCUCCCUCUGCCUCCACUACCGUCGCCUCGCCCUCCUCCUCCGCUCCCUUCACUCCCCCCCGGCCGCCGAGGCCUGCUGCCUCGUCGUGCUCCGGCGACGCUGACGUUGUUGGUGAUGCAGAACCCGUUCCUGGUGCGGUCAGAGGCGGGGCUGGCGACGCGGAGUUCCUCUCCCUCUCCGACCUCCGCCGCCUCCCCGCCUUCGGUAGGGCCGUCACCACCCUUUUCCAAACCACCGGCCACCCCCCCUCCGACCUCGGCACCGUCAACCACACCUCCCUCAAUUCCUCCUCUGUUGUCCUCGUUCGCUCCCCGACGCCCUUCUCUCCCUCCUCCGCCAACUCCAACGCCACCGUACUAGGCCUCGUCACCUCCCUCCCCUACGACGUUAGCGUCUUUGUUGUUGACGCCCUCCUCGUCCUCUACAACUUUAACCUCGCCGCGUCCAAUACCCGCCCCCCCAUCGACGUCAACAUCACACGGGUGCUCGUCGAGGCGCACGGGUUCAACGUCGCCGCAUCCAUGCUCGAGCGCCGGCGGAGAAGGGGGGCGGCGACGUGAGGGGUCCUUGACGGUGACAACGGCGGAGAAGGUGGAGGAGGAAGAAGGAGGAGGAAGACGAGAACACGGAGGGGAAAAAGGAAGGGAAGAAGGAGGAGGAAGAAGAAGAGAGUAAGACAUAGUGUAAAUUUCAUCCAAAUAGUGCAAUAUUAGUCUAAAGAGUGUAACUCUUCAUUCCAAAGAGUGUAAUUUUUAUUUCAAGUAGUGCAAUUUUAUCCAAAAUAGUGCAAAUUUUUUUAAAAUUGUGUAAUUUUAUUUUAAUAGUGCAAUUUCAUCAUCUUCUUCAUUCUUCUAUGAUUUUUGGUCAUUUCUGUAGAAAUUUUUUAUUUUUUAUUAUUCUUAUUUUCUUUCCCUCGCCGGAGUGUAACUAUUUUUCUCCUCCUCCCUUGCUGGCAUUAGGGGUGGCAAUCCAGCUCGAUGUUCGCGAGCCAGCUCGUGUUCAGCUCGAAAUGAGCUCGAGAUCGAAUCGCUCGUUUAGUAAACUUGCCGAACAUGAGCUAAAUUUUUCAGCUCAUUUAAUAAACGAGUCGAACACGAGCUGGGGUCAGCUCGCUCGUGUUCAACUCGAUAACAACUCGAAUACAUAUAUUUUAUAUUUAUAUAAUUUAUUUAAUAUAUAUUUUUAUAUAUAAAUAAAUAAUUAAAUAUAAUAUAUAUAUAUUUUUAUUAUUUAAAUUUUAGCAAAAUAAAAAUAUAAAUGCGAGUUUAAUUAUAAAAAGACUCAUUUAUAUGUAAAGUUUCAACUAUUAAAUCAAAGUCUAAUAAAUAAGAUUUUAUAAAUUUAUUUUAUAUAUAUUCAAUUUAAUCCUUUUUAAUUUAUUGUUCGUUGGCCAGCUCGUAAGUCAGCUCAUGUUUGGCUCGCUAAUUCGAACUGAAUUUUUCGACUCGAUACUUUAACGAGCCAACUCGUGUUCGGCUGGUUUAUUAAACAAGUCGAACACGGGCUGGCUCUAGCUCGCUCGUGUUCGGCUCAUUUACACCCCUAGCUGGCAUGCUUCUGGACCCCGAGAAGCACUUUCUUUUUGUUGCCGGCGGCGGUAGUGUGGACGGCGGGUGGAGGAGGGUUGGAGAGGAAAAAAAAAGGGUCGUGGCACGGCUUCGACGGGGUCGAAAGUGAGGAGGGUGAGGGGUGCGCAAACGAGGGCGAGCGUGAGGGGCAGAGGCGAGGUGGGCCGUUUCUGCCUCUGCCUCCACCACCUUCUUCGGAGAGGGGAAAAAAAAAUGAAAGAAAAAAGAGGAGAGAGAAAAAAGUAUAAGGGUAUUUUGGUCAAUUUGUUGAAAAUUCGGACCGAAUCUACAAAAUCGAAAAAGAUGGCCCAGUUUUGCAAAAGUUCAAAACUUGUGGAUUUUUUAUGCAAAUUGGCCAAAAAUAUGCAAAGCAAUCCAAGAAAUAAAUAUUUUAUGAAAAACUUCUUAUUCAGUUUUUUGACUAUUGAAUUUUAAAAAAAUUGUUUCUUUAAAAGAAAAUUAGAUUUUAUAGAAAACUAUCUUUUUUAUUUUUCUAAAAAAAAUUAGAAAAAGAAAAUACUAGUUUUUUAAGAAAUAAUCUAAAUUUUUAUGAAAGUAAAUGGAUGGAAAAUUUAAAAAUAAAAAAUUCACGUCUUUUUCGAGAAUCAAACAACUCCUAAUAAGAGUUUAGAUGCACAUGUAACUCUAUUUUAAAAGGCCAAUUUGCAUAAAAAAUUCACUAGUUUUGAGUUUUUGCAAAAGUAAACCGUCUUUUUGAAUUUUACAGAUUCAGAUCGAAAUUUUAGAAAACUGACCAAAAUACAUUUGUUCUCUUUUCUCUCUCCACCUUUUUUUUUUUUUCUCUCGUUCUUCUUUUCCUUUCUCUCCCAAGGGGGCGGCGGAAGCGGAGGCUGCUCACCUCAGCUUUUGUCCAGCACACCCUCACCCUCACCCUUACCCGCGCACCCCUGCCUUCCUCACAUCCAAUCCCGCCGAGACCGCGUCGCAAUCCUUUUUUUUUUCUCCGCCCCUCCUCCAUCGCCUAACGCCGCGUCCUCUUCCUCUCAUUUUUUCACUAGUUCUUUUUUGUUUCUUCGAACCCCCUCCACCUGCUCCGCGACCCUCCACGGCAGUAACGAAGAGAACGCCGUAUUCUCUUACUCUGCCUUCGCCGGCGCAGGCAUCGACACCAGGGCUGAAGAAGGAGGACUCGAAACGAGCGCGGGUGAGAGCGAAACCAAGAAAAAAAUAAAAAAUAAAUAAAAUAAAAAGAAUAAAAAUAAAAUAUAAAAUAUACUUUUUUCUACAAUAAAAAUAAAGAAUCAGAGAGAAAAGAAGAUGAAGAUGUACUGUUUCAGAGAAACGUUCCACUAUUUUUUAAAAAAAUUAUAUUUUUCUGAAUGAAAAUUGCACUAUUUCUCCUCAUCCACACGAAAACAAAGAAGAAGAAGAAGGAGGAGGAAGAGGCGAAAUAGUAUAAUUUUUGUCCAAAGAUUGCAAUUUUUUUAAAUAGUGCAACUUUUAUUUAGAAAAGUUUAAUUUUUCUCUCAAAUAGUAUAAGUUAUUUUUAAAACAGUGCAACGUUACUCUGAAAUAGUAUAACUUCAUCAUCUUCUUAUUUUCUAUAUGAUUCUUUAUUUUUCUGUAACUUCUUUUCACCCUCUCCGACCUUUAUCAUCUCUUCCACUGUCUCGGGGCCUUCUACGACGGUAACGAGGACGACAUCACAUACUCUCCCUCCAUCUCCUCCCUCGCCGGUGCCCGCGGCGCUCAACAACGAUAACGAGGGCGGCGCCGCCUCCUUCGCCUUCGCCUCGGCCGGCACCAGAGAAGAAAAAGGAGAACUCGAAAUAGAUCCGGAUAAGGACCAUUAUAUAUUAUUGCUGCUACCGAAAAAUAAUAUAUAAUUAUUUUUAAAAAAAAGUUAAUUUUUUUUACUCUUUAUUCUUGUUUCUUUUUCUACUAUCUACACCUUUGUUCGCUCAUUGAAGAUUGGUUCGUCCUUUUUUUCUCACCCUCACAGACAGCGAGCACCUCCUCGACAAUAAUCUCAUCGCCUUCGUCCCUCACUCGACUAUAGUAUUUUGAGCAUUUUAGGCGGUGAUAAGGUUUAAAAGGUUAAAAGAGUUAAACGUGCUAAGAUUAGAGUAGUCCCGAAAUGGAUGACCCUCUGAGAAGUUAGGGCAUCAUAAUAGCUGAUACAAUCACAAAUUUUAACAAAAUUUUCAAAUAUAGUAACUAUAAUAAUUCAAUUCUACAAAAUCAAAAGGCAAUGGGUCUCAGUAAAAAUAUUAAAGCUGAGGGUGGGCUAUUUCAAAAUUGUCUAUAGUUGAGGGGGUCUGCAUACACCUUCAAUCUAGAAACUAAGCUUUUUUUAGUAUUCUCAUGGGAAAAGUAGCCAAGUCAAACACUACCUUAGAAAUUAAGCUUGAGCCUGAGUCCAACUACGAUGUAUUUCUAGGGCCCUAGUCCGACCUGCUAAUCGGUCUAGGGUUGUCAACGAAGCACGAGUAAGCUAGAAUGGCCCGUACUAAUUCAUUUAUUAAACGAGCCAAAUAUAAAUUAAUUUGUUAGAAUAUUGAACUCAAAAUUUUAACUUGUAUCCACUUUAUUUAUCAACGAAUUGAACACGAGCUGACUUGCGAACAAUAAGUUAGGUUGUCAGCCGUAUUACUGGGCGGCAAGUUGAAAAAAAUUAUAUAUAAAAAAUUAAAAUUUUAAUCUAAUAAUUAAAAUUUAAAAAAAUAUAAUUUUUUUAUAUUUAGAUUGACUUAAAGUCUAAAUAGUAGAAAAUUGUAGUAUAUAUAUUUGAGUUAUAUGGAGCCGAGCACCAGCGAGUUGCUCCCACCUCGUGUUCGGCUCGUUAAUCUUUCACACUGAAAAAUUCAACUAGUAUUCGACUCAUUUAUUAAACAAGCCGAUCAAUCUUGACCUCAUUUCAAGCUGAACAUAAACUAACUUGCGAACAGCGAGAUGAAUUACAUGCCUGCUUUAGUUAUGAGACAUUAAUACAAAUAUAUCAAUUUUUAUCAGCCACUUACACAAAUUGCUUAAUAAGUUAAUACUAUACUUGUCAUUUUUAAUAUAAAUAUUUAACCAAAUGGUCCCUUGUUUUAGAGGGAUUGCACAUGGCUUCCUUUAAAGAUAUCAAAUAGUAAAUAUAUUCCUACAAAAUUUAAGUUAUCAGAUUUAUCCCUUCAAAGAUCCUUCCGUCUGUAAAUAUAUUAUUCUAUUAAGAAAAUUUAUAUAACCAUGAGUUAAACAAACUAAUAACAGUUAAUUAAGGGAUAAAAUAACCUUUUUAUUCUUUAUAUAUAAAUUUAUAUAUAAUUUGUAUUCCAGUGUUGUAUCUCGUCAUCUUUCUCACCCUCUCCUCUUUUUCCAUGGCGACGAUGAGAUCUAUGGUGGUGGCGACUUUGAAGGCGAGACCCUCGAUCGCGGUAAAAAUGAGAUACGCUGCACGUGCCGCGGCGAAGGCGAGAAAAGAGAGGAUAGAAAAAAAAAAAGUUUUUUAUAGAAACAAACAUGUAAAGAUAAAAUAGUCAUUUUACGCACUCACCAUUAAAAAACUAACGGUGAAUCAAACAGUAGAGACAUAUAUAAACAAACUUAAAUUUUUGGAGGAAUAUAUUUACAAAUCAAAGAAUUUUUAAAUGAAUAAAUCUGAUAACUUAAAUUUUAUAGGGAUAUAUUUACUAUUUGUUAUCUUUACAUAGACCUAUAUAAACUUAAUCCUACUUUAUAUGAAAAAUGUUACUUGUACAUCCUAAUCUCACUUACCUAAUGGGUAGGAGUGAAUUGCUAGUCAUAUUAAAUGACUAGUGAAAUAAUCCCACCUAUUAGAUGGAUGAAGUGUGUGUAUAUAGCAUUACUUAUUUUAUAUUAUAAUGUGAGUUGAUAAUAGGAAGUAUUUUAUUUUGGGGAAAACUUCAAACUCCACUAUGUAGUUUUACAUUUUCUCACUUUAGUAUUAUAUGAUUUAAAGUGUAUCAAUUUAAUAUUCUAUGAUUUUUAUCUUUUUAUUUUUGAUUCUACCAAUUUUUUUUGUUAAAUUAGUGAUAAAGUUUUUUUAUUUUUUUUGAGAGAUAGGUAGCAUGCUACCCGCUUCGUUUAUUUCAUUUAGAAAAAAACUUAGCUGAAAAUGUGAAUUAACUAGAAUUCGAACUUGGGUCUCGAGUACCAACCACUAAAUUCUUUACCACUUGAUAAAGUUAAAACUAAAAAAUACUAAAAUGAAUAUUCGAUAAACCUAUGUGGAGAUAUCUGAAAUUUUUUGUAUAUAAUUUAACGAAAUAUUAACUAAAAAAUUGACAAAAAAUUAAAAAUAAAAUUAUAAGAUACUAACUUGAUAUACUUUAAAUUACGAAAUACUAAAAGGAGAAAGUGCGAAACCACAUGGGUGGUUAUUGAAGUUUACCCUUUAUUUUGUUGCUAGAUGAUUUAUGCACUUGCCUCGGGGGAGUCAUCUUGUUCACGGCAAUCACGGGUUUUGAACCUCCACAGCAAGAGAGAGAGAGAGAGAGAGAGAGAGAGAGAGAGAGAGAGAUAUUUAAAGCAACUGUGGGUGACGAGGAAACCCGCAUCCAUACGCCGGCUCCUUCGCCAUCUUUGCAAUCUAUAUACAGUACGAGAGGAGAAAUUACUGCUUGCACAUGUUUCAUGCACCAUAAUGAUUUAUCUAAAAUUAAAAUUUUAAUUUGAUAGAUAUAAUUUAUAAUAUUUAAAAUAUUAAUUAAUUUAUAAAAAAUAAGAAUUUAAGUGCAGUGGUAUGGAGUCGUGUCGGAAACAUGCCGGCACAGUACGGCACGUGUGAGUACCGAGCCGUGCCGAUGCACGCAGGUCAAAAAAAUUCUUAUGUGCCGACACAUAAGAACAUAAAAUAUAUAUUUUCUUUAGCAACAAAAUAUUAUAACUAUUUAUUAUAUCUUUUUAUCACAUCUUUUGAACUUUAUUGAGAAAAUUAAUUACUAAUUUGAAGAAUAGAGGGUUUUGAGCUGUGCCAUCGGCAUGGGGUCUGCAUCGUGUCGGUAUCUUGUUGGCACGGUACGGCACGGUGGAUACAGUCCAUACCGACGGGCACUUAAAAUCUUGAUAAAAAGUAUGUCAAUUUUAAAAAUUUAUCAUUAUCUAGAAGGCAAGUAGUGUGUUAAAAAUCAACACCUUAAACAUUCAAAAUUUAUGAUAUUUUGACGUGUAAGUAUUUUCGAACGUCAAAGAGCACUUCUGCCACAAAGUGAGUUUCGGUUUCAAGGUCGGAUGAUGGUGUCAACAUAGCAAAAAGUACUAAGUUACCUAAGUAUACACUCGUCUCGCUCAACCCUUCAGAAACACGAUAGCCAAGCGUAUUCACUAACAGAAUUUAACCAAAUUCAAUAAACCCGACACGCGGUGCACUGUGCAUCAGGUGUAUACAAUAAUCUCUAGCUUUAAUAAAUAGUAGGGGGAAAUGUGAUGGGUUGGUCUGAGGAGGAGCCCUUUUGUGUCCCCUCCCACCCCCCAAAUUAAACAGUGUAUAGUAUGUAUUGGGGCCUUUAAUGCAUGAGAACAAGGAGAGUUCAUGAGGGUCAUAGGGCUUGCGUGAACCCAAUCAGGGCCAGCAUACAUAUAUAUAUAUAUAUAUAUAUAUAUAUAUAUAUGUGUGUGUGUGUGUGUGUGUGUGUGUGUGUGGUAUUUUAUCCACCAUCCAUUACUUUCCCAUCUGAGCUGAUCAUGAUGAUGAUGAUGAAAACGAUGAGCCCCUCCCCUCUAUUAUAACUGUUUAUUAUUAUUAUUAUUAUUAUUUUCAGAAAACAACAGUAUUGUGUUUCAAGAGAUCUGUACAUUUACACCCUUUGGCAUUUGCCUUCUGAUGUUAUUUAAUAAUGCAACACUACGAGCUAGCAGGUGUACGUAUCAGUGCAUGGGGUACGACUUGAAGCAAUUGAAUUUGAAUGGCCUUGACAUGUUUUGCCCUUUCUUUCAUAUUUUCUGUGUUUUUUUUUUUUUUUUUUUUUUUGAGUUGCCGUGACGGCAUAGUUCCCCGAUAUUUUCACUAUGCCCUAAGUUCAUAUUUGAAUGCAUAAAUACCUUAUUUAAAAAAUACUUUUAAUUUACUGAAAAAAUUAUUUUAAUAAUCGAGUAGAAAAAAUAUAUAAAGUAUAAAAAUAAAAAAGAACUCAAAGCACGUAGCAACGUCACUCUUAUUAAGGUUUGAUCCGUCUAUACCGUUCUGAUAAUUUGUGUACAUUGGAUCAAUGAAUAGCCUCGAAGUAUAAAUUUCAACUGCAUUUGCACACAUAAAUUUGAGCUUUUGAACAAUCACUCGAUUAAAGUUGUCAAAAAGAAAAAGAGUAAGAAAACAAGAAUGGAUUUUUUAUGAAUAGAAACUUAAACUCUUCAUCUAUCCUUCAGCAGUCAAUGCUAUGGCUUAUAUAGACCACGAACGGAUAUUUCAUGAAAUGACACUUUAUAAACGGAUGUUUCAUGAAAUAACUUUUCAACUUGUGAGUUUUCAUUUGAUUACAACUACCAUUUAGUUAUAGGAGUCAAAUUUAAUGAAUGCAAGUUUGUUCGUUUGAUGGAGUGUGUGUAUGUCCAUUAGAUAUUUUGUGAAUUUGUAUAAAAAAUCCACAAGUUUUGUUGCUUUUGCAAAAUUGGACCGUAUUUUUCGGUUUUGCAGAUUCGGAACAUAUUUUCAGAAAACUAACCAAAAUACCCUUGUUCUUUUCUCUCUCUCUCUCUCUCUCUCUUUUUCUCUCAUUCUUUUUUUUUCUCUCCGAAGAGAGAGGCGGGGGCGGAGGCAGAGGUGGCCUUCCUUGCCUCUACCCCACGCGUCCUCGCACGCAUCCGCGUACCACCCGCCAUCCUUGCCUUCAACCCCAUCAUGGUUGCGCUCGCUGUCGCCCUUUGGGACGCCCCUCCUCGCCUCCGCCCCAUGCGCCCUCUCCUGCCCCAGCUCAUCCCCCGCCCUCCUCGCCUCCGACCUCGCCGAGGCUGUGUCGCGAUCCUCUUUUUUUUUUUUCUCUCGGAACUUUCUCCACCGCCUCCGUGGCCCUUCACGACGAUAACAAAGACAGCACCACGUUCUCUAACUCCACCUCCACUGCAGCAGAUUUUUCACCCACUAAAUUCACUUUUGGGAAUUCGCCGUUCUCACCGCCGCCAAUGACCACAAAAAGAAAGCGCUUCUCGGCGCCAAGAAGCUCGCUGGCAGGGGAGGGGGCACGCGACCCACCAUGCCCACAGGGGGCCGACGAUGAGCGAAGUGGAGACGUAGGACAGCGCAACGACGCCAGAGAAGAGGGCGGGGCGGCGGCAUCCCAGAGGACAGCGGCGAGCCCGGCCUCGACUUGGUCGAAGACGAAGAGGGCGGGGGGUGCACGAGAGCAUCUCUGGACCUCUAGUCAAGCACUUUUGUUUACCUAAAAUAGAAAAAAAAAAAAAAAAAAAAAAACUAAAGGUCAAAAACUAAAGAUUAAGUAACAAGAACUAGAGAAGAAGGAAAAAUAAUAUAAAGUUACGCUAUUUUAAAAAAAGUUGUACUGUUAUAGACGUAAGUUGCACUCUUUGAUAUGUAAAUUGCAUCCUUUAAAAUAAAAGUUAUACUCCUUAAACGAAAGUUACACUCUUCAAAUGUAAGUUAUAUCUAAAUUUUAAUUUUAUAUAACUUGAAUUUUUUAUUUCAUCUUAAAUUUAAAGUUGAAAUUUAAUUAUACGAUUUAAAUUAAAAUUUAUAAAAUUUUAAAAUAAAAUUAAAAUUUGAGUUUAAAUUGUGAAUUAAAGUUAAUUUUUGAAAUUGAAAAUUUUAAAGUAAAUGUGAAACAUAUACUUAAAUUUUGGAUUUAUCAAAAUUUAAAAAAUAUAUAAAAAAAUUCAAUUUAUAUUAAAAAAAACAAUAUAUAAGGAUAUUACAGAUAUUUUCUAAUUAAAUAUAAUAUAUGAAUUUAUAAAAUAUAAUUUUUAUUAUAAUUUUUUGAUUAAAUAUGAUGCACUAAUUUAUCUUAAUUUGAAAAUAAAUUAAAAUAAUUAUGACGUGCAUUUGCAAGCAUACUCAACUUGUUACGUUGUUUCCGAUAAAUCGAGUUUUGACCGUAUCUUUAUUACGGCGAAACAAACAGUAAAAAUAAUCAUUUUCGGCCGAAAACGAUUUCGCUCCUCUCCAUUUUUAUCCAAACAAAUAGGCCUUAAGGGGAACCGCACUUCACUCACAAUGCUUGCCGGCCGGUGACCAUGCUUUUGACUGGUGAUUGAUUUUGAUACCAACUGUGACACUCUGCCCUAGGCUCGGUCAGCCCUCUUAAUCUCUUAGUAGAUUUAGUUAUUGCUCAAAAUGUUAUAAUCGAGUUAAGAGCACUCUUCCAAAUUCGGUGUGUCACAAAUCCUGUCCCUCAAACCGUCAACUCGACCCAUCCAACCCUCUCCGCCGGACUUAACCUGUCAACCAGACCCAUAAAUUCAAGGUCGAUCCAGACCCACAAAUUUAGUGGGUGUUCCCAAUCAGACCAGGCCGUGCCGACCUAAUAAUUUCCGGUCUUCAAUAACACUUUUUAUUAUAU